UCGAGAAUUUUUCACAAUGGGCGCAAGCCUGAUGGAGCGACGCCGCGUGGGGGAUGAAUGGCUUCGGCCCGUAAACCCCUGUCAUUUGCGAUCAACCGUUAUUAUUUAAAAGAUGAUAACCUGAUAGUAGCGAAAGAGGAAGGGACGGCUAACUCUGUGCCAGCAGCCGCGGUAAUACAGAGGUCCCAAGCGUUGUUCGGAUUCACUGGGCGUAAAGGGUGCGUAGGUGGCGGGGUAAGUCGGAUGUGAAAUCUCGGAGCUCAACUCCGAAAUGGCAUUGGAAACUACCCUGCUCGAGGAUUGGAGGGGGGACUGGAAUACUUGGUGUAGCAGUGAAAUGCGUAGAUAUCAAGUGGAACACCAGUGGCGAAAGCAGGUACCUGGACUAUUGCUGACACUCAGCUGCGAAAGCUAGGGGAGCAAACA
rnacentral:rRNA from 1 species